rnacentral:rRNA from 1 species
UACGAAGGGGGCUAGCGUUGUUCGGAGUUACUGGGCGUAAAGGGCGCGUAGGCGGCCCUUCAAGUCGGGCGUGAAAGCCCACGGCUCAACCGUGGAAUUGCGCUCGAGACUGAGGAGCUCGAGGAUGGGAGAGGAUGGUGGAAUUCCCAGUGUAGAGGUGAAAUUCGUAGAUAUUGGGAAGAACACCGGUGGCGAAGGCAGCCCCCUGGGUCAACACUGACGCUCAUGCACGAAAGCGUGGGGAGCAAACAGG